rnacentral:rRNA from 1 species
UACGUAGGGGGCAAGCGUUGUCCGGAAUUAUUGGGCGUAAAGAGCUCGUAGGCGGUGUGUCGCGUCGGUCGUGAAAACUUGGGGCUUAACCCUGAGCUUGCGGUCGAUACGGGCAUCACUGGAGUUCGGCAGGGGAGACUGGAAUUCCUGGUGUAGCGGUGAAAUGCGCAGAUAUCAGGAGGAACACCGAUGGCGAAGGCAGGUCUCUGGGCCAUAACUGACGCUGAGAAGCGAAAGCAUGGGGAGCGAACAGG